rnacentral:misc_RNA from 1 species
GUAUUAAAAUUUGCCUUGUGGCAGAUAAACAUUCAUUGGUUCAAUACAAGGAGUUUAUAAGUUCCAAAGGCAGGUUCUACCCUCCCUUUGAAAGAAUUAAGUGCACAGGUGUAAAUAAAUCAGAAGAGCAAGCACAUGCAGAUUAAACUGCCAGCAUCAACCCUCUGUAAAUCCAUUAAUGAUCCUUCCGCAGGUUCACCUACGGAAA